rnacentral:lncRNA from 1 species
CUUUGCCAGAGAAAAAAAUCUAAAUAAUUCGUUAGAUCCUUCACAUAAUCACAAUGAGAAACCAAAUCAUUUACCUCACUGUGCAUCGAAUUCUUAAUUUGGAGAAACAAUUUUGCAUCCUCUUUCAACCAGACUGAUUUAGUCGCAUCCUUGGGUGGAUCAUCAACCAACUGGUUCUCUUUGUUGAUGCUCCGCAAAUAGAGACGGAUCGUCUUACUCCAAUCCGUGUAAUUGGAACCCAAGUAGCUUUUGUUUCAGUCAUUUUGCACCAAAAUAAAAACAGUGGCAGAACAGUGUGUUACUGUUCCAGUGUUCGGAACAGUGACAUCAACAGUAGCUUUUGUUUCAGUCAUUUUGCACCAAAAUAAAAACAGUGGCAGAAAAGUGUGUUACUGUUCCAGUGAUCGGAACAGUGACAGAACUGGAGAAAAAAAAAUGAAAGUGGUCAAAAAAAAUUUUUGAGAGUACCAAGUUGGUCGGAACAGUGAGGAGAAUAGACCGUGUAAAAGCAGCCAGACGAAAAAGUGGCCGGAAUCGGUUCACGCGCCGGCGCGUAGGAGAUGAGGGUGGCGCGUGGAUGAACAGUGGAGGCGCGUGGGUAAGAUUCUGGCGACGAAAUUUUCAGAGAUGGUGCGCCUGAUGAUGGGUGUUUUAAUGGUGUGGGAGGUGAGAAAACAAAAUUGAGAAGGGACUGUCGGAAUAGUGGUCAGAACAGUGCUUUGGAAAAAAAUUCAAACGGGAAACAAUUCCUAGCAAAACAAACUAAUGA